rnacentral:lncRNA from 1 species
GGCAGUUUUGUCCCCUCCGGCCCCGCGGCUGCGCGGGUGCAGCGGCGGCGGCUCUGCAGAGGGAGCUCCGUCUCCUGGGGCCCCUCUGGGACCUCGGCUCAGGAUGGCGUGGAGCUGCGUCUGUGCCGUCGCGAGCCGGGUUCCCUGCCGACUGGGCGACGCGGGAGGAAAAGGGUUCCCCAAAGCCUCUGCCUGCCUUCUGCAGCUGAGCUGCUUCAGCCUCUGUGGGACACCCAUUUGAAGGAACCUGUCCAAAUCCAUGUAAGAGAUCUCCUAUUUUUUCCCUCCCACCUGAGGCUCUUCCUCCUCACCAGACACCUGUUCCAAGGAAGCUCCUGCAACUAGGUAAGAUGAAUCAAGCCUGGGUGGUCCUUGGCGUCUAUCUGGGUCCCAGGGCUGAAGGGUGCCGACUGAUUCAGAGCCGGCUGAAGUGACUUACAGAGCUGGGUCUUUGAUUUCAGGGUGUGGGCUUGUGUCUUGAGGGUUGAGUAUCCAGGGUGACAGUGAAGAAUCCAUACUCCCACCGCAAGAGUGGAUUUCAGUGUGCCUGAGAGGAAGAG